AUUGAACGCUGGCGGCAUGCCUUACACAUGCAAGUCGAACGGCAGCACGGGUGCUUGCACCUGGUGGCGAGUGGCGAACGGGUGAGUAAUACAUCGGAACAUGUCCUGUAGUGGGGGAUAGCCCGGCGAAGGCCGGAUUAAUACCGCAUACGAUCUACGGAUGAAAGCGGGGGACCUUCGGGCCUCGCGCUAUAGGGUUGGCCGAUGGCUGAUUAGCUAGUUGGUGGGGUAAAGGCCUACCAAGGCGACGAGCAGUAGCUGGUCUGAGAGGACGGCCAGCCACACUGGGAGUGAGACACGGCCCAGACUCCUACGGGAGGCAGCAGUGGGGAAUGUUGGACAAUGGGCGGAAGCCUGAUCCAGCAAUGCCGCGUGUGUGAAGAAGGCCUUCGGGUUGUAAAGCACUUUUGUCCGGAAAGAAAUGCUUGGCCCUAAUACGGUCGGGGGAUGACGGUACCGGAAGAAUAAGCACCGGCUAACUACGUG
rnacentral:rRNA from 1 species